CUACGGGCGGCUGCAGUGAGGAAUAUUGCACAAUGGGGGGAACCCUGAUGCAGCAACGCCGCGUGGAGGAUGACGCAUUUCGGUGUGUAAACUCGUUUUAUGAGUCAAGAAAAUGACGGUAGCUCAUGAAUAAGCGCCGGCUAACUCCGUGCCAGCAGCCGCGGUAAUACAGAGGGCGCAAGCGUUACUCGGAAUCACUGGGCGUAAAGGACGCGUAGGCGGGUUGGUAAGUCAGGUGUGAAAUCCUACAGCUUAACUGUAGAACUGCACUUGAAACUACCAACCUAGAGUAUGGGAGGGGCAGAUGGAAUUAGUGGUGUAGGGGUAAAAUCCGUAGAUAUCACUAGGAAUACCUAAAGCGAAGGCGAUCUGCUGGAACAUAACUGACGCUAAGGCGUGAAAGCGUGGGGAGCAAACGGGAUUAGAUACCCCCGUAGUC
rnacentral:rRNA from 1 species